CUUCACAAUACAUUUUAAAUGCACCAUUUUGAAAACGAAGGAUUGGAAGAUUCUUAAAGCUUCUCAUAAUUUUACAAGUUCUACUUUUUUUCUUUAUAGUAUUGCGCUAUACAGCUUCUCAGCUUCUGAACAAAUACAGGGUUUGAAAGAUCUGACAGCACGUCUCUGAUUGGUCACCAUAUCCAGAAGCAGUAAAAAUGCAUCACCAUCAGAGUGACUCUGACUCCAGUGAUGACAGCAUGAAAGAUCCUCCUUUUAUGAAAUCCACAAUGGAAUCACAGAGACGCCGACAGCGCAGCAGUAUGAACGAACCGACUGACAAGCUAUCUGACAUUACUCAUCUCAGAGAAGAAUUGAACAGACUCCAUGAGAAAAUUUCUCCGGAAUGCAAUGAGCAUAUAAAGAAAAUGACUGAAGUCGUCAAUGAGUUUGAAAAAGAUUUCAGACAUGCUACUAACAUCUCUAGAGGAGCAAUGAUAUCUGGAGGUGUUGGAGUUGCUGGCAUAAUUCUAGGAUUAGCUUUAGCUGCAUUUACUGGAGGGGCUUCUACCAUUGUCUCUGGAUUAGGGACAGCUGCGCUCGCAGGUGGUGGAAUUGCUCUUGCUAUUGGGGAAUUCAAGAAAACACAGCAGGAGAAGAACUUAAGACAAACCAUAGAAAAAGAACUUGAGGACUUUCAGAAGAAAAUCAGCCCUAUUAUUAACAUGCUAGAGAAGAUUUUUAAUCGUACUCAGGAAAUACUGAGAGACCCUACACUAUCAAAGCACAAAGCCAAUGCAAUACGGGAACGUUUCUCCUACAGCUUUGAAAAAAUACACCUCUUCCAGAGAGAUAGCAGCAGAGAAGUGGGUGCACGGAAACAUUUGACUGGAGAUCCUUCAGAAAUUGUAGCUGAGAUGAGUUCUGUGCUUGAAAUUCUGGAAGAGAUCAUCGAAGACAAAGAGGAGCAAGAUGACAACCCUGAAGAAACACCCGCACAUAAACAAAUAAAUGAAAAAGAGUUCAAGAAAAAAGCAAAGAAAUUCAUUGAUGAAAUGAGGAAAGGAAUCAAUCAGUUACAGAAUGUCAUGAAUGAAAUUGAUCUAACAAAACAAAGACUAUUAAAAAAAUGAAUAAAUUCUGAUGAAAUAAAACUAUGUGAACAAUUGAGACACAACUUGUUAUUCGAUCAACUGACAGAAAACGAACAACCCAACUAGCAUCUCAAUGUACUGAAUGAUAUAAACAUCCAACUGUCCUACAGUGAUUAAUGUUAUAAAAAUGUACCUGUUAAUUCUAUCAGGUCUAUCAGGUAUGUUAGAAUUAUAUAGGACAUAGCUGUAUUGGAUGAGCAGAAACUUAAAGUGAUUUACAUUGAUUUUGCUCUGCAUUAUUUUUUUUUAUAUAUAUAUAUACUUUAUUUUAUUUUAUUUUUUUUAACUUUCAUUACACUAAGAUGUAUUAAAAUGUACACCCAAAAAUAAAGCAAUU
rnacentral:lncRNA from 1 species